rnacentral:rRNA from 1 species
CCUACGGGGGGCUGCAGUCGAGGAUCUUUUGCAAUGGGCGCAAGCCUGACAAAGCGACGCUGCGUGGAGGAUGAAGGCCUUCGGGUCGUAAACUCCUGUCAUUCGGGAACAAUACCGAGAGGAUUAAUACCCCUUUUGAUUGAUGGUACCGAAGGAGGAAGCCACGGCUAACUCUGUGCCAGCAGCCGCGGUAAUACAGAGGUGGCGAGCGUUGUUCGGAUUUACUGGGCGUAAAGGGUGCGUAGGUGGUUCUGUGUGUCGGAUGUAAAAGCCUGGAGCUUAACUCCAGAACGUCAUUCGAAACUGCAGGGCUAGAGUGCAGGAGAGGAGAGCGGAAUUCUUGGUGUAGCGGUGAAAUGCGUUGAUAUCAAGAAGAACACCGGAUGCGAAGGCGGCUCUCUAGUAUGUUACUGACACUGAGGCACGAAAGCCGGGGGAGCAAACAGGAUUAGAUACCCCUGUAGUC